UACAGAGGGGGCAAGCGUUGUUCGGAAUUACUGGGCGUAAAGGGCGCGUAGGCGGCCUGCUAAGUCGAACGUGAAAUCCCUGGGCUCAACCCAGGAACUGCGUCCGAUACUGGUUGGCUUGAAUCCGGGAGAGGGACGUGGAAUUCCAGGUGUAGCGGUGAAAUGCGUAGAUAUCUGGAGGAACACCGGUGGCGAAGGCGAUGUCCUGGACCGGCAUUGACGCUGAGGCGCGAAAGCCAGGGGAGCAAACAGG
rnacentral:rRNA from 1 species